rnacentral:rRNA from 1 species
UACAGAGGUCUCGAGCGUUAGGCGGAAUCACUGGGCUUAAAGCGUGUGUAGGCGGAUCGGUAAGUACCUUGUGAAAUCCCACGGCUUAACCGUGGAACUGCUUGGUAUACUGCCAGUCUUGAGCCAUCUAGGGGCUACCGGAACAAGCGGUGGAGCGGUGAAAUGCGUAGAUAUCAGGAGGAACACCGGUGGCGAAGGCGGGACUCUGGGCCGAUACUGACGCUGAGGAGCGAAAGCGUGGGGAGCAAACAGG